GUCAAAAAAACUCUCCGGAGGUUUCGUCAUUAAGGCAUAAAGCUAACCAGUGCUUGCUUGGCAUGUGUCUUG